UGAAGGAGUGAGAGUAAGAGGAGGGAGGACAAGCAAGGACAGUUGCCUCAGAUGAGAUCAGGGCCACAUUGGUUGAUCACGUGUUCAACCAUGGAUUGAGUAUGAGGGAGGCUGGGCAGAGAGUUCAGCCCAACCUGAGCCGCUACAUGGUUGCAUCUAUCAUCCUACAUUCAGAAAUGAGAACCGAGAGUCUUGGAGCUGGAUGCCACUGCAAUUCAGCACGUUUAUAUUUACAUUGAGGCUGGCUUCAACCUAGC